GUUGGGAUAGCUCAGCUGGUAG
rnacentral:tRNA from 1 species